rnacentral:rRNA from 1 species
UACGGAGGGGGCUAGCGGUGUUCGGAAUUACUGGGCGUAAAGCGCGCGUAGGCGGGCUGUUAAGUCGGGGGUGAAAUCCCGGGGCUCAACCCCGGAACUGCCUUCGAUACUGGCGGCCUAGAGGAAGGGAGAGGCUAGUGGAAUGGCGAGUGUAGAGGUGAAAUUCGUAGAUAUUCGCCGGAACACCAGUGGCGAAGGCGGCUCGCUGGGCCGAUUCUGACGCUGAGGUGCGAAAGCGUGGGGAGCAAACAGG